rnacentral:rRNA from 1 species
GACGAACGCUGGCGGCGUGCUUAACACAUGCAAGUCGAACGGAAAGGCCCUGCUUUUGUGGGGUGCUCGAGUGGCGAACGGGUGAGUAACACGUGAGUAACCUGCCCUUGACUUUGGGAUAACUUCAGGAAACUGGGGCUAAUACCGGAUAGGAGCUCCUGCUGCAUGGUGGGGGUUGGAAAGUUUCGGCGGUUGGGGAUGGACUCGCGGCUUAUCAGCUUGUUGGUGGGGUAGUGGCUUACCAAGGCUUUGACGGAUAGCCGGCCUGAGAGGGUGACCGGCCACAUUGGGACUGAGAGACGGACCAGACUCCUACGGGAGGCAGCAGUGGGGAAUAUUGCACAAUGGGCGGAAGCCUGAUGCAGCAACGCCGCGUGCGGGAUGACGGCCUUCGGGUUGUAAACCGCUUUGGCCGGUGACGAGGCGUGAGUGACGGUAAUGGGUAAAGAAGCACCGGCUAACUACGUG